rnacentral:rRNA from 1 species
GUUAGGAAUAUUGGACAAUGGGCGCAAGCCUGAUCCAGCCAUGCCGCGUGAGUGAUGAAGGCCUUCGGGUUGUAAAGCUCUUUAGCCGAUGAUUAUAAUGACUGUAGUCGGAAAAUAAGCCCCGGCUAACUUCGUGCCAGCAGCCGCGGUAAUACGAAGGGGGCGAGCGUUAUUCGGAAUCACUGGGCGUAAAGCGUGCGUAGGCGGCUUUGCAAGUUGGGAGUGAAAGCCCAGGGCUCAACCCUGGAAUUGCUCUCAAAACUGCAAGGCUCGAAUUCGGGAGAGGAUAGCGGAAUUGUCAGUGUAGCAGUGAAAUGCGUAGAUAUUGACAGGAACACCAGUGGCGUAAGCGGCUAUCUGGACCGAUAUUGACGCUGAGGCACGAAAGCGAGGGGAGCAAAUGGGAUUAGAAACCCGAGUAGUCC